CCCUAAUGUAGUAUUCAGAGGAGCUCCUAAUUUCAAAUCAAUCUUAACUAAGAAUUUUACUAGGCAAAUAAAAACCAAACCAGCUUUAUCCUUAUUCCCCAAAAUUAAAGGUUACUGCAAAUGCAAAUCAUGUUUAGUCUGUAGAUCUACGGAUUCAUCAUUACCAUCUAAAAUAACUGAAUUCACUUCGAAAGUAACAAAUAAGGUUUACAAAAUUGAUGACUUUAUUAACUGUACCACAAGAAAUGUUAUUUAUCUGCUUGAAUGCCCCUGUGGCCUCCAAUAUGUUGGAAUGACCACAAAGUGCUUGAAAACAAGAAUAAGCGAACAUUGCAGAAAUAUUAC